ACCGACACAGGUGGACUGGUAGAGUAUACCAAGGCGCUUGAGAGAACUAUGCUGAAGGAACUCGGCAAUCUACCUCCGUAACUUCGGGAUAAGGAGGCCUCAGCCCGCGCAAGCGGGCCUGAGGGGCACAGACCAGGGGGUGGCGACUGUUUAUCUAAAACACAGGGCUCUGCGAAGUCUGUAAGACGACGUAUAGGGCCUGACGCCUGCCCGGUGCCGGAAG
rnacentral:rRNA from 14 species